AUUGAACGCUGGCGGCAGGCUUAACACAUGCAAGUCGAACGAUGAUUAUCUAGCUUGCUAGAUAUGAUUAGUGGCGGACGGGUGAGUAACAUUUAGGAAUCUGCCUAGUAGUGGGGGAUAGCUCGGGGAAACUCGAAUUAAUACCGCAUACGACCUACGGGUGAAAGGGGGCGCAAGCUCUUGCUAUUAGAUGAGCCUAAAUCAGAUUAGCUAGUUGGUGGGGUAAAGGCCCACCAAGGCGACGAUCUGUAACUGGUCUGAGAGGAUGAUCAGUCACACCGGAACUGAGACACGGUCCGGACUCCUACGGGAGGCAGCAGUGGGGAAUAUUGGACAAUGGGGGCAACCCUGAUCCAGCCAUGCCGCGUGUGUGAAGAAGGCCUUUUGGUUGUAAAGCACUUUAAGCAGGGAGGAGAGGCUAAUGGUUAAUACCCAUUAGAUUAGACGUUACCUGCAGAAUAAGCACCGGCUAACUCUGUGCCAGCAGCCGCGGUAAUACAGAGGGUGCGAGCGUUAAUCGGAAUUACUGGGCGUAAAGCGAGUGCAGGUGGCUCAUUAAGUCACAUGUGAAAUCCCCGGGCUUAACCUGGGAACUGCAUGUGAUACUGGUGGUGCUAGAAUAUGUGAGAGGGAAGUAGAAUUCCAGGUGUAGCGGUGAAAUGCGUAGAGAUCUGGAGGAAUACCGAUGGCGAAGGCAGCUUCCUGGCAUAAUAUUGACACUGAGAUUCGAAAGCGUGGGUAGCAAACAGGAUUAGAUACCCUGGUAGUCCACGCCGUAAACGAUGUCUACUAGCCGUUGGGGUCCUUGAGACUUUAGUGGCGCAGUUAACGCGAUAAGUAGACCGCCUGGGGAGUACGGCCGCAAGGUUAAAACUCAAAUGAAUUGACGGGGGCCCGCACAAGCGGUGGAGCAUGUGGUUUAAUUCGAUGCAACGCGAAGAACCUUACCUGGUCUUGACAUAGUGAGAAUCCUGCAGAGAUGCGGGAGUGCCUUCGGGAAUUCACAUACAGGUGCUGCAUGGCUGUCGUCAGCUCGUGUCGUGAGAUGUUGGGUUAAGUCCCGCAACGAGCGCAACCCUUUUCCUUAUUUGCCAGCGGGUUAAGCCGGGAACUUUAAGGAUACUGCCAGUGACAAACUGGAGGAAGGCGGGGACGACGUCAAGUCAUCAUGGCCCUUACGACCAGGGCUACACACGUGCUACAAUGGUAGGUACAGAGGGUUGCUACACAGCGAUGUGAUGCUAAUCUCAAAAAGCCUAUCGUAGUCCGGAUUGGAGUCUGCAACUCGACUCCAUGAAGUCGGAAUCGCUAGUAAUCGCAGAUCAGAAUGCUGCGGUGAAUACGUUCCCGGGCCU
rnacentral:rRNA from 1 species